ACACCACUUUGACAGGCAGGUUAAACCAGCCAGUGGGUCUCAUACUCCAGUGAGAAAGGGACGUGACUGUUCUAGCAUGCAAAGGCAGUUCCAGCAGCCUGGGUGGAUAUGACCUACAGUGAGAUCCAAGGGCCAGGACUCUACGUGGAGAUCGAAGGGCUUGACAAGGCACAGAAGUAGUCAUGGUCAUCCAGUGCAAAACGGAAGACCUCAUCUGCUUGUCCCACUGGACCCAGGAGUCCGAGGUCGAGAGAAUGGAACUGCCCCGGUUCAACAGCUUUUCCACUGUAAAAACUCUCCAGCACAGGUUUCCUGUCAUUGUCUGAUAUGAAGGACAACCACCUGUAGCAAUAUUGGUGGUGUUCCAAUUGGUCCUGUAUUUAAUUUAAAUACAUCAUUUGUUAGACACAUGGUUUGUUUUUUUUAAUGCUUUUUAAAAACUAUUUCCAUGAAAAUUUAGCUAACUGUGGAAGCCCCUUUAUUGGGACAAAAUGUACAGCUCCUAAUGUGUUCCAAUUAACUAGAAUCCACUGUAUAUGAAACUAAAAUGGAACACUUCACAUUCUUCCAUGAUAUUCCAUCAGCCUUGUUCUUGCCCACCACAGUCCAGUGGCAUUCCCUUGGAAUAACAGGGGAGGCUCAAGGGCUUUAAUGGCCUUAUCUUGACCACAAUUCCACACAGUCUGAUGUGCAAGGCACCACUAUUGUUGGAAGAAUCUCAGAUGGCAAUCAGGAGGCUUAUGGCAAUGAGACAGAUCAAUUGGUUGAGUGGUGUCAGCGAGACCAAGGGUCUGAUUGUAGGGGAAGGUGAGAACACACACCAGCCCUCAUUGAGGGGUUAGCAGUGGAAAGGGUGAACAGUUUUAAGUUCCUGGAUGUCAAUAUUUCAGAACCCAGUGCAUUGAUGCAAUCUGAAGAAGGCAUGCCACCGGUUCUAUUACAUUAGGAGUUUGAGAUUUGGCAAGUCACCAAACACUCCUACAAAUUUCUAAAGAUGUACGAUAGAGAGCACUUUGAGUGACUGCAUCAGUCUGGUAUGAAGCCUCCGAAGCACAGGAUCACAAGAGGCUGCAAAGGUUUGCAGACUCAGCCAGCUCCUUCACAAGCACAACGAGGAAGGAUAUGUCGAGCCUCAAGAAGGCAGCAUCCAUCGUUAAGGACCUUCACAAUCCAGUCAUGCCCCUUUCUAGUUUCUACCAUCAGCAAGGUGCUACAGGAGCCGUAAGACCCACAGACAAUGUUUUAGAACAGCUUCUUCUCCUCCACUAUCUGAUUUCUGAACAGUCCAUGAACAAUGCCUCAUAUUUCCUUUCCUUCUACACCAUUAUCUUUGUAACCUAGAGUUUUCUGUUGUGUACUCUAUUGCUGCUGCAAAAUAAACUUCACAUCACGUUGGUAAGAACAAAUCGGAUUCUGACAUUAGCUUAACCUUUACAUUUCGGUGUGGGUGGACACGUAGGAGCCUUCAGUUACGCUGAAAGGGCAUAUUCAGAGAAUGAAGCGUAACCAAGCAAAGGGGGAACGAUCAUGUGCAGUAGCUGCCCGUCACAGGGAGGAGCCAUGCCAGAGCGAGCUGCUUCAGCAGUAUUUAUGGUGCCCAACACUCCAGUAAUGAGAUACGAGAGACGUCAUCCCUUCUCUUGCACAACGCUGUCUUGUGUAUUCCUUCCUGCUGGAAGUUGAGAUGGAAGCCAAAAUUCCCAGAGGAAGAAUGAAAAUCACACCAGCUCCAGCCAAGAGGAGACCGUCUGACAGACAGGACAGUACUGGACUACAGCUGAGUUCCUCCAGUAUUCUGUGUGUGUUGCUCUGGACUUCGGGAACUCUCAUAACCGCAGGUCUACCCCAGCAGCCAGCUGCUCUCGGGUGGAGAAGCGGGACUUGGAGUGAGCGUAUGGCUGCCUGCUGCAGGAAGGCAUUGGAGUUGGUGCGGCAAAGCGGCGUGCAGUGAAAUGAUGCUGCCUGGCCUGCUGAGCUCCCCCAUCGUUUUGUGUGUGUUUCCCUGGAUGGUCCAGUUGGCUGACAGCACUUCUGGGAGAAACCUCUGGUUAUUAAUUUGGUCCUGAGCUCCCUAAUUCCAUAGUACAACCCAC